UUUAUUGAUCUAUUUUAUUUCAUUUGGUUC
rnacentral:piRNA from 1 species